rnacentral:rRNA from 1 species
GGGUUGUGAGGUUAAGCGACUAAGCGUACACGGUGGAUGCCCUGGCAGUCAGAGGCGAUGAAGGACGUGCUAAUCUGCGAUAAGCGUCGGUAAGGUGAUAUGAACCGUUAUAACCGGCGAUUUCCGAAUGGGGAAACCCAGUGUGAUUCGUCACACUAUCAUUAACUGAAUCCAUAGGUUAAUGAGGCGAACCGGGGGAACUGAAACAUCUAAGUACCCCGAGGAAAAGAAAUCAACCGAGAUUCCCCCAGUAGCGGCGAGCGAACGGGGAGCAGCCCAGAGCCUGAAUCAGUGUGUGUGUUAGUGGAAGCGUCUGGAAAGGCGUGCGAUACAGGGUGACAGCCCCGUACACAAAAAUGCACAUGCUGUGAGCUCGAUGAGUAGGGCGGGACACGUGGUAUCCUGUCUGAAUAUGGGGGGACCAUCCUCCAAGGCUAAAUACUCCUGACUGACCGAUAGUGAACCAGUACCGUGAGGGAAAGGCGAAAAGAACCCCGGCGAGGGGAGUGAAAAAGAACCUGAAACCGUGUACGUACAAGCAGUGGGAGCACAGAGCAAUCUGUGUGACUGCGUACCUUUUGUAUAAUGGGUCAGCGACUUAUAUUCUGUAGCAAGGUUAACCGAAUAGGGGAGCCGAAGGGAAACCGAGUCUUAACUGGGCGUUAAGUUGCAGGGUAUAGACCCGAAACCCGGUGAUCUAGCCAUGGGCAGGUUGAAGGUUGGGUAACACUAACUGGAGGACCGAACCGACUAAUGUUGAAAAAUUAGCGGAUGACUUGUGGCUGGGGGUGAAAGGCCAAUCAAACCGGGAGAUAGCUGGUUCUCCCCGAAAGCUAUUUAGGUAGCGCCUCGUGAAUUCAUCUCCGGGGGUAGAGCACUGUUUCGGCAAGGGGGUCAUCCCGACUUACCAACCCGAUGCAAACUGCGAAUACCGGAGAAUGUUAUCACGGGAGACACACGGCGGGUGCUAACGUCCGUCGUGAAGAGGGAAACAACCCAGACCGCCAGCUAAGGUCCCAAAGUCAUGGUUAAGUGGGAAACGAUGUGGGAAGGCCCAGACAGCCAGGAUGUUGGCUUAGAAGCAGCCAUCAUUUAAAGAAAGCGUAAUAGCUCACUGGUCGAGUCGGCCUGCGCGGAAGAUGUAACGGGGCUAAACCAUGCACCGAAGCUGCGGCAGCGACGCUUAUGCGUUGUUGGGUAGGGGAGCGUUCUGUAAGCCUGCGAAGGUGUGCUGUGAGGCAUGCUGGAGGUAUCAGAAGUGCGAAUGCUGACAUAAGUAACGAUAAAGCGGGUGAAAAGCCCGCUCGCCGGAAGACCAAGGGUUCCUGUCCAACGUUAAUCGGGGCAGGGUGAGUCGACCCCUAAGGCGAGGCCGAAAGGCGUAGUCGAUGGGAAACAGGUUAAUAUUCCUGUACUUGGUGUUACUGCGAAGGGGGGACGGAGAAGGCUAUGUUGGCCGGGCGACGGUUGUCCCGGUUUAAGCGUGUAGGCUGGUUUUCCAGGCAAAUCCGGAAAAUCAAGGCUGAGGCGUGAUGACGAGGCACUACGGUGCUGAAGCAACAAAUGCCCUGCUUCCAGGAAAAGCCUCUAAGCAUCAGGUAACAUCAAAUCGUACCCCAAACCGACACAGGUGGUCAGGUAGAGAAUACCAAGGCGCUUGAGAGAACUCGGGUGAAGGAACUAGGCAAAAUGGUGCCGUAACUUCGGGAGAAGGCACGCUGAUAUGUAGGUGAAGUCCCUCGCGGAUGGAGCUGAAAUCAGUCGAAGAUACCAGCUGGCUGCAACUGUUUAUUAAAAACACAGCACUGUGCAAACACGAAAGUGGACGUAUACGGUGUGACGCCUGCCCGGUGCCGGAAGGUUAAUUGAUGGGGUCAGCGCAAGCGAAGCUCUUGAUCGAAGCCCCGGUAAACGGCGGCCGUAACUAUAACGGUCCUAAGGUAGCGAAAUUCCUUGUCGGGUAAGUUCCGACCUGCACGAAUGGCGUAAUGAUGGCCAGGCUGUCUCCACCCGAGACUCAGUGAAAUUGAACUCGCUGUGAAGAUGCAGUGUACCCGCGGCAAGACGGAAAGACCCCGUGAACCUUUACUAUAGCUUGACACUGAACAUUGAGCCUUGAUGUGUAGGAUAGGUGGGAGGCUUGGAAGUGUGGACGCCAGUCUGCAUGGAGCCGACCUUGAAAUACCACCCUUUAAUGUUUGAUGUUCUAACGUUGACCCGUAAUCCGGGUUGCGGACAGUGUCUGGUGGGUAGUUUGACUGGGGCGGUCUCCUCCUAAAGAGUAACGGAGGAGCACGAAGGUUGGCUAAUCCUGGUCGGACAUCAGGAGGUUAGUGCAAUGGCAUAAGCCAGCUUGACUGCGAGCGUGACGGCGCGAGCAGGUGCGAAAGCAGGUCAUAGUGAUCCGGUGGUUCUGAAUGGAAGGGCCAUCGCUCAACGGAUAAAAGGUACUCCGGGGAUAACAGGCUGAUACCGCCCAAGAGUUCAUAUCGACGGCGGUGUUUGGCACCUCGAUGUCGGCUCAUCACAUCCUGGGGCUGAAGUAGGUCCCAAGGGUAUGGCUGUUCGCCAUUUAAAGUGGUACGCGAGCUGGGUUUAGAACGUCGUGAGACAGUUCGGUCCCUAUCUGCCGUGGGCGCUGGAGAACUGAGGGGGGCUGCUCCUAGUACGAGAGGACCGGAGUGGACGCAUCACUGGUGUUCGGGUUGUCAUGCCAAUGGCACUGCCCGGUAGCUAAAUGCGGAAGAGAUAAGUGCUGAAAGCAUCUAAGCACGAAACUUGCCCCGAGAUGAGUUCUCCCUGACUCCUUGAGAGUCCUGAAGGAACGUUGAAGACGACGACGUUGAUAGGCCGGGUGUGUAAGCGCAGCGAUGCGUUGAGCUAACCGGUACUAAUGAACCGUGAGGCUUAACCUUACAACGCCGAAGGUGUUU